rnacentral:rRNA from 1 species
GACGUACGCUGGCGGCGUGCUUAACACAUGCAAGUCGAACGGAAAGGCCCUGCUUUUGUGGGGUGCUCGAGUGGCGAACGGGUGAGUAACACGUGAGUAACCUGCCCUUGACUUUGGGAUAACUUCAGGAAACUGGGGCUAAUACCGGAUAGGAGCUCCUGCUGCAUGGUGGGGGUUGGAAAGUUUCGGCGGUUGGGGAUGGACUCGCGGCUUAUCAGCUUGUUGGUGGGGUAGUGGCUUACCAAGGCUUUGACGGGUAGCCGGCCUGAGAGGGUGACCGGCCACAUUGGGACUGAGAUACGGCCCAGACUCCUACGGGAGGCAGCAGUGGGGAAUAUUGCACAAUGGGCGGAAGCCUGAUGCAGCAACGCCGCGUGCGGGAUGACGGCCUUCGGGUUGUAAACCGCUUUCGCCUGUGACGAAGCGUGAGUGACGGUAAUGGGUAAAGAAGCACCGGCUAAGUACGUG